rnacentral:rRNA from 1 species
UCCACGCCGUAAACGAUGAGUGCUAGGUGUUGGGGGUUUCAAUACCUUCAGUGCCGCAGUUAACGCAAUAAGCACUCCCCUUGGGGAGUACGCUCGCAAGAGUGAAAUUCAAAGAAAUUGGCGGGGGCCCCCACAAGGGGUGGAGCAUGGGUUUUAUUUGAAAGCAACGAGAAGACCCUUCCCAGUUUUUGACAUCCCGGUAUCCGCUAUGGAGACAGAGCUUCCUUUGGGGGCAGCGGUGACAGGUGGUGCAUGGUUGUCGUCAGCUCGUGUCGUGAGAUGUUGGGUUAAGUCCCGCAACGAGCGCAACCCUUAUCUUUAGUUGCCAGCACUCAGCCGGGCACUCUAAAGAGACUGCCGGUGACAAGCCGGAGGAAGGUGGGGAUGACGUCAAAUCAUCAUGCCCCUUAUGACCUGGGCUACACACGUGCUACAAUGGUUGGUACAAAGGGAAGCUACCUCGCGAGAGGACGCCAAUUUUUUAAACACAAUUACAAUAAGCACGUGGCGUUGUAAACAUCCGGCAGGCCUAACACAAGCAAGA